rnacentral:piRNA from 1 species
UGCCUUGCAGCCUGAUCUUAUGGAAC